GGCCAGUUAGCUCAGUCAGUUGAGCAUGGCGCUAACAGCGCUAGGGUCGUGGGUUUGAUUCCCGUUCGGUCUC
rnacentral:tRNA from 1 species